GAUGAACGCUGGCGGUAUGCUUAACACAUGCAAGUCGAACGGACUCUUCGGAGUUAGUGGCGGACGCGUGAGUAACGCGUGAGAAUCUGGCUUUGGGUUCGGGACAACCACUGGAAACGGUGGCUAAUACCGGAUGUGCCGAGAGGUAAAAGAGAAAUUGCCUGAAGAUGAGCUCGCGUCUGAUUAGCUAGUUGGUGAGGUAAAGGCUCACCAAGGCAGCGAUCAGUAGCUGGUCUGAGAGGAUGACCAGCCACACUGGGACUGAGACACGGCCCAGACUCCUACGGGAGGCAGCAGUGGGGAAUUUUCCGCAAUGGGCGAAAGCCUGACGGAGCAAUACCGCGUGAGGGAAGAAGGCUCUUGGGUUGUAAACCUCUUUUCUUAGGGAAGAACAAAAUGACGGUACCUAAGGAAUCAGCAUCGGCUAACUCCGUG
rnacentral:rRNA from 1 species